GACGAACGCUGGCGGCGUGCCUAAUACAUGCAAGUCGAGCGGACGGAUGGGAGCUUGCUCCCAGACCGUCAGCGGCGGACGGGUGAGUAACACGUGGGCAACCUGCCUGUAAGACUGGGAUAACUCCGGGAAACCGGGGCUAAUACCGGAUAACUCUUUCCCUCACAUGAGGGAAAGCUGAAAGAUGGCAUCUCGCUAUCACUUACAGAUGGGCCCGCGGCGCAUUAGCUAGUUGGUGAGGUAACGGCUCACCAAGGCGACGAUGCGUAGCCGACCUGAGAGGGUGAUCGGCCACACUGGGACUGAGACACGGCCCAGACUCCUACGGGAGGCAGCAGUAGGGAAUCUUCCGCAAUGGACGAAAGUCUGACGGAGCAACGCCGCGUGAGUGAUGAAGGUUUUCGGAUCGUAAAACUCUGUUGUCAGGGAAAAACAAGUACCGGAGUAACUGCCGGUACCUUGACGGUACCUGACCAGAAAGCCACGGCUAACUACGUG
rnacentral:rRNA from 1 species